rnacentral:sRNA from 1 species
GUGUCAAAAAUUCGGCGAAUACUCGAAAGACGAUCCGAACAGUUUCCGACUAUCGGACAAAUUCUCGCUAUUCCCACAAUUCAUGUUCCACCUGCGUCGUUCACAAUUUCUACAAGUAUUCAAUAAUUCGCCCGAUGAAACUGCAUACUAUCGACACAUUUUGUUCUCGGAGAACGUGUUGGAGAGUACGACAAUGAUUCAGCCCGUCUUGUUUAGCUAUUCGUUUAA